rnacentral:lncRNA from 1 species
GUACGGGCAGACGUGGCAAAAAACGUGAACCUGAGGGAACGGGAAAGAACGGGGUACGACGGCCGUGUUGCAUAAAACAGGGCGCGCGCCAUGGAAAACGGGUGAAAACCAUGUGCGUGGCAUGGAAGGAUGCACGUACGGGCACACGGGCCAAAAAACGUGAACGUGAGGAAACGGGAAAAACGGGUACGGGGCCGUGUUGCAAAAAACUGGGCGCGCCAUGGAAAACGGGUGAAAACCUUGUUCGUGGCAUGGACGGAUGAACGUACGGGCAC